GGCUAUUCCAAAGGUAGUGAGUUACCUCAAUUGAUAGUUCGCAAAGAUUGAAAUCCUUAUUCUACUAUUUUCUCCCUCUCACUACUGCACUUGAUUAGUCUUAA
rnacentral:Y_RNA from 1 species